GAUGAACGCUGGCGGCGUGCCUAACACAUGCAAGUCGAACGGAGAUUACGGACGGAAGUUUUCGGAUGGAAGACUGUAAUUCUUAGUGGCGGACGGGUGAGUAACGCGUGGGCAACCUGCCCUAUACAGGGGGAUAGCAGCUGGAAACGGCUGGUAAGACCGCAUAAGUCGGCGAGACCGCAUGGUUUUGCCGGGAAAUGAGCAAUCAGGUAUAGGAUGGGCCCGCGUCCGAUUAGCCAGUUGGCAGGGUAAAAGCCUACCAAAGCAACGAUCGGUAGCCGGACUGAGAGGUCGGACGGCCACAUUGGGACUGAGACACGGCCCAAACUCCUACGGGAGGCAGCAGUGGGGGAUAUUGCACAAUGGAGGAAACUCUGAUGCAGCGACGCCGCGUGAGUGAAGAAGUAUUUCGGUAUGUAAAGCUCUAUCAGCAGGGAAGAUGGUGACGGUACCUGACUAAGAAGCCCCGGCUAACUACGUG
rnacentral:rRNA from 1 species